CCCAUCACCAUAAGGCAACCUCCUUCAUCUUCCACUGCCAGAAUUUUCUGUAAUUUCCUGAGUCUCUCUCUCCCACAUAUGGUAGAUGGGAGAUAAAGGGGUUAGUCUAAUAGAGAUGGGAAAAGAGGGUGUGAUGCCUAAUGGUGAUGGGAGAGGGUGACAACUAAUGGGGAUGCAAGAGAGAUGGGAUGACACAUAAUGGAUAAGGGUGAGGAAGGGAGUGGUGCUAAGUGGUGAUGGAAAGGAGGGUGGUAUCCUCCUUUCUCUCCCAUCACCAUUAAACAGAGCUCAUUUCCUCUCCCAUUCAUUAAUCAGCAUCCCA